AUUGAACGCUGGCGGCAGGCCUAACACAUGCAAGUCGAACGUGUGGCGGACGGGUGAGUAAUGUCUGGGAAACUGCCUGAUGGAGGGGGAUAACUACUGGAAACGGUAGCUAAUACCGCAUACCAUCAGAUUUGCCCAGAUGGGAUUAGCUUGUGGGUGGGGUAACGGCUCACCAAGGCCACGAUCCCUAACCAGUCUGAGAGGAGGACCACCACACCUGGAACUGAGACACGGUCAAGAUUCUUACGGGAGGCAGAAUUGGGGAAUAUUGCAAAAUGGGCGAAAGCCUGCUGCAGACCUGCGCGGUGUAGGAAGAAGGCCUUCGGGUGGUAAAGUACUUUCAGCGGGGAGGCGUUAACCGAAGAAGAAGCACCGGCUAACUCCGUGCCAGCAGCCGCGGUAAUAC
rnacentral:rRNA from 1 species